rnacentral:rRNA from 1 species
GACGAACGCUGGCGGCGUGCUUAACACAUGCAAGUCGAACGAAGAGCGAUGGAAGCUUGCUUCUAUCAAUCUUAGUGGCGAACGGGUGAGUAACGCGUAAUCAACCUGCCCUUCAGAGGGGGACAACAGUUGGAAACGACUGCUAAUACCGCAUACGAUCUAAUCUCGGCAUCGAGGAUAGAUGAAAGGUGGCCUCUACAUGUAAGCUAUCACUGAAGGAGGGGAUUGCGUCUGAUUAGCUAGCUGGAGGGGUAACGGCCCACCAAGGCGAUGGUCAGUAGCCGGUCUGAGAGGAUGAACGGCCACAUUGGGACUGAGACACGGCCCAGACUCCUACGGGAGGCAGCAGUGGGGAAACUUCCGCAAUGGACGAAAGUCUGACGGAGCAACGCCGCGUGGGUGAUGACGGCCUUCGGGUUGUAAAGCUCUGUUAAUCGGGACGAAAGGCCUUCUUGCGAAUAGUGAGAAGGAUUGACGGUACCGGAAUAGAAAGCCACGGCUAACUACGUG